GGCUAACGCUGGCGGCGUGUCUUAGCCAUGCAAGUCGAGCGGACUUAUGGGGUAACUUAUAAGUCAGCGGCGGACGGCGGAGUAACACGUAGCUAACCUACCCUCUGGACGGGGAUAACCUACCGAAAGGUGGGCUAAUACCCCGAUGUAGUCAUCCUGUAUAGGGGUGAUGAAAGGUGGGCUUCUGUUUACAAGCUCAUGCUGGAGGAGGGGGCUGCGGCCUAUCAGGUAGUUGGUAGGGUAAUAGCCUACCAAGCCGAUGACGGGUAGUCCGGCCUGAGAGGGUGACCGGCCCGAGGGGCACUGAGAUACGGGUCCCACUCCUACGGGAGGCAGCAGGCUAGAAAUUUGGGCAAUGGGGGAAACCCUGACCCAGUGACGCCGCGUGCAGGAAGGAGCCCUUCGGGGUGUAAACUGCUGUCGUGUUAGGGAAAGGGGUACUAAGGUGAACGAAUCUUAGGUACUUGACGGUACUACAGGAGGAAGCCCAAGGCUAACCUCGUGCCAGCAGCCGCGGUAAAUAGCGUACU
rnacentral:rRNA from 1 species